rnacentral:rRNA from 1 species
AAUUUUGGACAAUGGGGGAAACCCUGAUCCAGCCAUCCCGCGUGUAUGAUGAAGGCCUUCGGGUUGUAAAGUACUUUUGGCAGAGAAGAAAAGGUAUCUCCUAAUCCGAGAUACUGCUGACGGUAUUUCCAGAAUAAGCACGGGUCACCUACUUGCCACAUGCCGCGGUAAUACGUAGGGUGCAAGCGUUAAUCGGAAUUACUGGGCGUAAAGCGUGUGUAGGCGGUUCGGAAAGAAAGAUGUGAAAUCCCAGGGCUCAACCUUGGAACUGCAUUUUUAACUGCCGAGCUAGAGUAUGUCAGAGGGGGGUAGAAUUCCACGUGUAGCAGUGAAAUGCGUAGAUAUGUGGAGGAAUGCCGAUGGCGAAGGCAGCCCCCUGGGAUAAUACUGACGCUCAGACACGAAAGCGUGGGGAGCAAACA